rnacentral:tRNA from 1 species
GCAGUGGUGAUUUAGUGGUAGAAUUUUCACCUCGCAUAUUGGAGACCUGGGUUCAAUUCCUGGCCAAUGCA